rnacentral:rRNA from 1 species
UAAGCGACUAAGCGUACACGGUGGAUGCCCUGGCAGUCAGAGGCGAUGAAGGACGUGCUAAUCUGCGAUAAGCGUCGGUAAGGUGAUAUGAACCGUUAUAACCGGCGAUUUCCGAAUGGGGAAACCCAGUGUGUUUCGACACACUAUCAUUAACUGAAUCCAUAGGUUAAUGAGGCGAACCGGGGGAACUGAAACAUCUAAGUACCCCGAGGAAAAGAAAUCAACCGAGAUUCCCCCAGUAGCGGCGAGCGAACGGGGAGCAGCCCAGAGCCUGAAUCAGUGUGUGUGUUAGUGGAAGCGUCUGGAAAGGCGCGCGAUACAGGGUGACAGCCCCGUACACAAAAAUGCACAUGCUGUGAGCUCGAUGAGUAGGGCGGGACACGUGGUAUCCUGUCUGAAUAUGGGGGGACCAUCCUCCAAGGCUAAAUACUCCUGACUGACCGAUAGUGAACCAGUACCGUGAGGGAAAGGCGAAAAGAACCCCGGCGAGGGGAGUGAAAAAGAACCUGAAACCGUGUACGUACAAGCAGUGGGAGCCUCUUUUAUGGGGUGACUGCGUACCUUUUGUAUAAUGGGUCAGCGACUUAUAUUCUGUAGCAAGGUUAACCGAAUAGGGGAGCCGAAGGGAAACCGAGUCUUAACUGGGCGUUAAGUUGCAGGGUAUAGACCCGAAACCCGGUGAUCUAGCCAUGGGCAGGUUGAAGGUUGGGUAACACUAACUGGAGGACCGAACCGACUAAUGUUGAAAAAUUAGCGGAUGACUUGUGGCUGGGGGUGAAAGGCCAAUCAAACCGGGAGAUAGCUGGUUCUCCCCGAAAGCUAUUUAGGUAGCGCCUCGUGAAUUCAUCGUCCGGGGGUAGAGCACUGUUUCGGCAAGGGGGUCAUCCCGACUUACCAACCCGAUGCAAACUGCGAAUACCGGAGAAUGUUAUCACGGGAGACACACGGCGGGUGCUAACGUCCGUCGUGAAGAGGGAAACAACCCAGACCGCCAGCUAAGGUCCCAAAGUCAUGGUUAAGUGGGAAACGAUGUGGGAAGGCCCAGACAGCCAGGAUGUUGGCUUAGAAGCAGCCAUCAUUUAAAGAAAGCGUAAUAGCUCACUGGUCGAGUCGGCCUGCGCGGAAGAUGUAACGGGGCUAAACCAUGCACCGAAGCUGCGGCAGCGACGCUGAUGCGUUGUUGGGUAGGGGAGCGUUCUGUAAGCCUGUGAAGGUGUGCUGUGAGGCAUGCUGGAGGUAUCAGAAGUGCGAAUGCUGACAUAAGUAACGAUAAAGCGGGUGAAAAGCCCGCUCGCCGGAAGACCAAGGGUUCCUGUCCAACGUUAAUCGGGGCAGGGUGAGUCGACCCCUAAGGCGAGGCCGAAAGGCGUAGUCGAUGGGAAACAGGUUAAUAUUCCUGUACUUGGUGUUACUGCGAAGGGGGGACGGAGAAGGCUAUGUUGGCCGGGCGACGGUUGUCCCGGUUUAAGCGUGUAGGCUGGUUUUCCAGGCAAAUCCGGAAAAUCAAGGCUGAGGCGUGAUGACGAGGCACUACGGUGCUGAAGCAACAAAUGCCCUGCUUCCAGGAAAAGCCUCUAAGCAUCAGGUAACAUCAAAUCGUACCCAACCGAACACAGGUGGUCAGGUAGAGAAUACCAAGGCGCUUGAGAGAACUCGGGUGAAGGAACUAGGCAAAAUGGUGCCGUAACUUCGGGAGAAGGCACGCUGAUAUGUAGGUGAAGUCCCUCGCGGAUGGAGCUGAAAUCAGUCGAAGAUACCAGCUGGCUGCAACUGUUUAUUAAAAACACAGCACUGUGCAAACACGAAAGUGGACGUAUACGGUGUGACGCCUGCCCGGUGCCGGAAGGUUAAUUGAUGGGGUCAGCGCAAGCGAAGCUCUUGAUCGAAGCCCCGGUAAACGGCGGCCGUAACUAUAACGGUCCUAAGGUAGCGAAAUUCCUUGUCGGGUAAGUUCCGACCUGCACGAAUGGCGUAAUGAUGGCCAGGCUGUCUCCACCCGAGACUCAGUGAAAUUGAACUCGCUGUGAAGAUGCAGUGUACCCGCGGCAAGACGGAAAGACCCCGUGAACCUUUACUAUAGCUUGACACUGAACAUUGAGCCUUGAUGUGUAGGAUAGGUGGGAGGCUUUGAAGUGUGGACGCCAGUCUGCAUGGAGCCGACCUUGAAAUACCACCCUUUAAUGUUUGAUGUUCUAACGUUGACCCGUAAUCCGGGUUGCGGACAGUGUCUGGUGGGUAGUUUGACUGGGGCGGUCUCCUCCUAAAGAGUAACGGAGGAGCACGAAGGUUGGCUAAUCCUGGUCGGACAUCAGGAGGUUAGUGCAAUGGCAUAAGCCAGCUUGACUGCGAGCGUGACGGCGCGAGCAGGUGCGAAAGCAGGUCAUAGUGAUCCGGUGGUUCUGAAUGGAAGGGCCAUCGCUCAACGGAUAAAAGGUACUCCGGGGAUAACAGGCUGAUACCGCCCAAGAGUUCAUAUCGACGGCGGUGUUUGGCACCUCGAUGUCGGCUCAUCACAUCCUGGGGCUGAAGUAGGUCCCAAGGGUAUGGCUGUUCGCCAUUUAAAGUGGUACGCGAGCUGGGUUUAGAACGUCGUGAGACAGUUCGGUCCCUAUCUGCCGUGGGCGCUGGAGAACUAAGGGGGGCUGCUCCUAGUACGAGAGGACCGGAGUGGACGCAUCACUGGUGUUCGGGUUGUCAUGCCAAUGGCACUGCCCGGUAGCUAAAUGCGGAAGAGAUAAGUGCUGAAAGCAUCUAAGCACGAAACUUGCCCCGAGAUGAGUUCUCCCUGACUCCUUGAGAGUCCUAAAGGAACGUUGAAGACGACGACGUUGAUAGGCCGGGUGUGUAAGCGCAGCGAUGCGUUGAGCUAACCGGUACUAAUGAACCGUGAGGCUUAACCU